rnacentral:rRNA from 1 species
AUUGAACGCUGGCGGCAUGCCUUACACAUGCAAGUCGAACGGUAACAGGUUAAGCUGCCGCGUGGCGAACGGGCGAGUAAUACAUCGGUACGUGCUCAGUAGCCGGGGUAAGACAGGCGAAAGCCGUAUUAAUACCGCAUACGAUCCCAGGGAGAAGGGUGGGGCUCAUAGUUCAAUAGUUAAUGGCGGUGUUGCUGUCACUUAUAGAUGGAUGCGGGCCAGAUUAGCUAGUUGGUAAGGUAACGGCUCACCAAGGCAACGAUGUGUAGCCGACCUGAGAGGACGACCGGCCACACUGGGACUGAGACACGGCCCAGACUCCUACGGGAGGCAGCAGUGGGGAAUUUUGGACAAUGGGCGAAAGCCUGAUCCAGCCAUGCCGCGUGCGGGAUGAAGGCCUUCGGGUUGUAAACCGCUUUUGUCAGGGAAGAAAUCCUGUGUAUUAAUACCUCGAGGGGAUGACGGUACCUGAAGAGUAAGCACCGGCUAACUACGUG